AACGAACGCUGGCGGCAGGCCUAACACAUGCAAGUCGAACGCUCCAGCAAUGGAGAGUGGCAGACGGGUGAGUCACGCGUGGGAACCUUCCCUAUGGUUCGGAAUAGCCCAGGGAAACUUGGGGUAAUACCGAAUAAGCCCUUCGGGGGAAAGAUUUAUCGCCAUUGGAUGGGCCCGCGUCGGAUUAGCUAGUUGGUGGGGUAACGGCCUACCAAGGCGACGAUCCGUAGCUGGUCUGAGAGGAUGAUCAGCCACACUGGGACUGAGACACGGCCCAGACUCCGACGGGAGGCAGCAGUGGGGAAUAUUGGACAAUGGGCGCAAGCCUGAUCCAGCCAUGCCGCGUGAGUGACGAAGGCCUUAGGGUUGUAAAGCUCUUUUGGCGGGGAAGAUAAUGACGGUACCCGCAGAAUAAGCUCCGGCUAACUUCGUGCCAGCCGCCGCUGUAAGAC
rnacentral:rRNA from 1 species